GACGAACGCUGGCGGCGUGCUUAACACAUGCAAGUCGAACGGAAAGGCCCUUCGGGGUCCUCGAGUGGCGAACGGGUGAGUAACACGUGGGUGAUCUGCCCUGCACUUUGGGAUAAGCCUGGGAAACUGGGUCUAAUACCGGAUAGGACCACGGCAUUCAUGUGCUGUGGUGGAAAGCUUUUGCGGUGUGGGAUGGGCCCGCGGCCUAUCAGCUUGUUGGUGGGGUAAUGGCCUACCAAGGCGACGACGGGUAGCCGGCCUGAGAGGGUGACCGGCCACACUGGGACUGAGAUACGGCCCAGACUCCUACGGGAGGCAGCAGUGGGGAAUAUUGCACAAUGGGCGCAAGCCUGAUGCAGCGACGCCGCGUGAGGGAUGGCGGCCUUCGGGUUGUAAACCUCUUUCGCCAGGGACGAAGCGCAAGUGACGGUACCUGGAGAAGAAGGACCGGCCAACUACGUG
rnacentral:rRNA from 1 species